GACGAACGCUGGCGGCGCGCCUAACACAUGCAAGUCGAACGAGAGAUGAGGAGCUUGCUCUUCAAAUCGAGUGGCGAACGGGUGAGUAACGCGUGAGGAACCUGCCUCAAAGAGGGGGACAACAGUUGGAAACGACUGCUAAUACCGCAUAAGCCCACGGCUCGGCAUCGAGCAGAGGGAAAAGGAGCAAUCCGCUUUGAGAUGGCCUCGCGUCCGAUUAGCUAGUUGGUGAGGUAGCGGCCCACCAAGGCAACGAUCGGUAGCCGGACUGAGAGGUUGAACGGCCACAUUGGGACUGAGACACGGCCCAGACUCCUACGGGAGGCAGCAGUGGGGAAUAUUGCACAAUGGGGGAAACCCUGAUGCAGCGACGCCGCGUGGAGGAAGAAGGUCUUCGGAUUGUAAACUCCUGUUGUUGAGGAAGAUAAUGACGGUACUCAACAAGGAAGUGACGGCUAACUACGUG
rnacentral:rRNA from 1 species